rnacentral:lncRNA from 1 species
GUCCUCACAUUCUUCAAAAGUGUUAACUUUCGUCGACUUGAGCUUCCUCAAAUUCAGCAGUUACAAACUCUUCUGUUCAAUCCUAAGGUUCUGACAUUAAUGCACGAAACUGAUUUGGUGCGGUAGUAACUCGAUAAUUAUAUCCUUAAACCUCCACAGUUCUCUGUCUUUGGUUCAGUUGAUUCUGGAUGGAUUUAGCAUUGAUACAAUUCACUGUGUAAUUGUAUAUCCCUGAAUCACUGAGUUAGAUU